rnacentral:rRNA from 1 species
UACGUAGGCAGCAAGCGUUGUUCGGAGUUACUGGGCGUAAAGAGUGCGUAGGCGGUGUCGAAAGUUUGGCGUGAAAUCUCCCGGCUUAACUGGGAGGGUGCGCCGAAAACUGCGGUGCUGGAGUGUGGGAAAGGCAAGCGGAAUUCCUGGUGUAGCGGUGAAAUGCGUAGAUAUCAGGAGGAAUACCGAUGGCGAAGGCAGGUCUCUGGGCUGACACUGACGCUCAUGCACGAAAGCGUGGGGAGCAAACAGG